rnacentral:rRNA from 1 species
GCUUGCGAUGGAUGGCGACCGCGCUCCGGGUGCGUAACGCGUAUGCAACCUACCCACAACAGGAGGAUAGCCCGGAGAAAUCCGGAUUAAUACUCCAUGACACAGGGGUUUCGCAUGGGACUAUUGGUUAAAGAUUUAUCGGUUGUGGAUGGGCAUGCGUCUGAUUAGCUAGUUGGUAGUGUAACGGACUACCAAGGCGACGAUCAGUAGCGGGUCUGAGAGGAUGAUCCGCCACACUGGCACUGAGAUACGGGCCAGACUCCUACGGGAGGCAGCAGUAGGGAAUAUUGGUCAAUGGGCGAGAGCCUGAACCAGCCAUGCCGCGUGAGGGAAGACGGCCUUCUGGGUUGUAAACCUCUUUUGUACAGGAAGAAAACGGGCCUGCGGGCCCAAUUGACGGUAUUGUACGAAUAAGCACCGGCUAACUACGUGCCAGCAGCCGCGGUAAUACGUAGGGUGCAAGCGUUGUCCGGAUUUAUUGGGUUUAAAGGGUGCGUAGGCGGCCUUUUAAGUCAGUGGUGAAAGCCUGCAGCUCAACUGUGGAACUGCCAUUGAUACUGGAAGGCUUGAGUAUGCUCGAGGUAGGCGGAAUUUAUGGUGUAGCGGUGAAAUGCAUAGAUACCAUAAAGAACACCGAUAGCGAAGGCAGCUUACUUGGGCAAAACUGACGCUGAGGCACGAAAGCGUGGGGAGCGAACAGGAUUAGAUACCCUGGUAGUC